ensembl:lncRNA
GUGCAUACCCUGCUAACACACGACGUAACAGUUACGUAACGUAUUGGUAAUUUUUGGUAAUUCCGUGACUUACCAAUUGACAACGUAACUACGACGUCGCAUGCCCGUAAUUUUAUUACCAUCACAUUACCAACUCGCAACGUCGUCAGUACGUCCUUCCAACGUGACCAGAUAACCAAGAACGUCCCAGAUAGGUUCUCUAUUCGUAAUAUAUUGGUAACUUCAUGACUUACUGGCAACGUAACUACGACGUCGUUUGCACGUAAUUUCAUUACCAUAACUUUUGUUCUUUAUAUGCUUUCUGAGUAUAGUGAUAUUUAAAAAGUGUAAUUAAACUUCAGACACAAGAUUAAACGUUCCUUAAAGAUAAAAUGUGUUUCUUUUCACCAAGUCAGAAUAUGGACAUGCUUUUAAUAUAUAAUGACGUGACAUACAGCGCGCGCGCUUCCACAGCUGACACACCGCGCGCACAGUAUACUGACAAGAAAGGAAAUACAUUUUUUCUGAGUUGUGAAACUUUCUAUUUCGUAAGGAGUUAUGAACGUGAAAUAAUGACACAGACUGGCUAUACCAUCUCAUCUGCCGCAGAUACUGUAUCAGGAGGACAGCGCGUUUGUUUGAGGCACUUUUCACUUCAACUGUGUCUGACCGGAGAAUUAGCUUUUCUGAGCCUAUUAGCCGUUGAGAGUUACCAUGGCAACCGCGGACACAUCAGCUGCUGGAGAGGAGAGGACGCGUCUGACACUUUCUCUGUUUCUCGUCAGUUAUACCAAAGAAAAGUUCAACAACUGCGACAGAUUGCUUAAGAGCUGGAGGCCGUGGAGAAGCAGAUCCGUGACCUCGUGGAGAAGCAGGCUCAGCUGAGAGAGCGGAGAGCCGUGAUGGAAACAUUCAGGGGUUGAUGCUCAUAAGUCCAGUGUAAGUAUACAGCACGCUGCUAACUCUCCCACCACCUCUACUCUGUGUGGUUCUCUGCACAGGCCCGGUGUACCCAGGACGCAAUCUUCCCAGAUGUCCUUCACCCUGUGCCACAGCGGAAGACAUGAGCCAGGUCCUGGGGGACAACCUCUCUCCCCCCGUCGCCUCCGGUCUUCGGGAACUCCACUGGAAUCCGAUUUCCUCCACUUCACGAGACAGAACACGACUCUGUGUUCGUCGGAGACUCCAUCAUCCGGCAUAUUCGUGCUAUGUUAGCUGGAGGUAAUGUGCACACUCACUGUUUCCCUGGUGCUCGUGUUCUUGAUAUUUCUGCGCAGAUACCCGUGAUCCUGAAGGGUGAAGAGAGCAUCGGAGCGGUCGUGCUUCACGCCGGGGUUAACAACACCAAAGCUGCGGCAGACGCAGACACUAAAGAGGGACUUCAGGAGCCUGAUCGAGAUGGUGUGCAGCAUAUCGCCUGCACGAUGAUCAUCAUCUCAGCACCUUUUCUCAUGUAUAGAUGAGGACACGAAAGGUUCAGUAGAGUUUUUGCUCUAAAUGAAUGGUUAUUGUCAUGGUGUAAAGAACAGAAACUGCUCUUUGUUAAUAAUUGGAAUCUUUUCUGGAAGCGUCCUAGGCUUUUUCGCGCUGAUGGCCUGAACACCAGCAGAGUCGGAGCGGAGCUGCUCUCGGACAACAUCUCCAGGACUCUACGCUCCAUUUGACUAGGGUGUGACGAGACACUUAUCCCAGGAGACGAGACGCGAGACUGGGUUCAUGAGAACGAGAGGAGACGAGAUUUUUAAACUUUUUUUUAAAGAAAUCCUCAAUGAUGAAAUAUAAAGGGAAAAUUUGUCUUUUAUUCAACUGAAAAACACAAAAUGCAAAAAAAUGUAGUAGCAUUUUGAAAUAAAAUUGUACUUUAUGUAAUUAAACCUCUAUUUUAAUACAUUUUAUGCAGGUAUAAACAACAUGUAAACACUGCAAAAGGUUUUGCCACAAACUCAACUGACUAGCAAAUAAUUG